rnacentral:rRNA from 1 species
AUGUCGUCCGCAAUCGCCGCCGCCGGCAAGCCAUCGGGAUCCGCCUCCGCCAUCGUCGGCACCUCGGCGAGAGGGUAUCAUACCCUCAAGAUCGACGGUUACUGGUGCACCAAGGUGACCCCCACGGGUGAGUUCCUCCAAUCCAGCCAAUUCUCCGUCGGCGGCCGUUGCUGGCGCAUCAACUAUUACCCCAAUGGCAUGGACUCCCAAACAGCGGGUUAUAUAUCAAUUUACCUCAAGCUCGAUGAAAUUGCAACCGAGGAUGUGAAGGCGAUGUUCACUAUUGGUUUCGCCAAGCGACUGCCGUGGCCGUGGGCAUGCACACCUGUAAGUGUUUUUGGUGGUGAGCAAAUGCGGGGCUAUCCGAAGUUCAUCAAGAGGGAGGAUUUGGAGAAGUCGGAGUAUCUCAAGGACGAUUCUUUCACAAUCAGGUGUGAGAUCGUCGACAUCUGCACCAAAGAGGCCAGAGCUCCAAAGUUUGUCACUGUGCCCCCACCUCAGCUGAACCAGCACCUCGGUGAUCUCCUCAAGACCGGCAAGGGCGCCGACGUUGUGUUUGAGGUAGGCGGUGAGUCGAUUGCGGCACACCGUUGCGUGCUUGCGUCCCGGUCGUCAGUCUUCAAUGUGGAGCUCUUUGGUGCUAUGAAAGAGGGCAACACAGCCAGUGUCAUACGCAUAGAUGACAUGGAGGCACAGGUGUUCAAGGCAUUGCUCUACUUUGCCUACACUGAUUCGUUGCUAGAGACAGAAAAAGAAGAUGAAGAAGCCAUGUACCCGCAUCUGCUCGUUGCGGCCGACAUGUAUGAUAUGGAGAGGCUAAAGCUGAUUUGUGAGGAAAAAUUAUGUGAGCACAUCAAAAUAGACUCUGUUCCGACCAUCCUGGCACUUGCUGAGAAGUACCAUUGCAAUGGGCUGAAGAAGGCAUGCUUUGAUUUUCUCAGCUGCCCGGCACGUCGGAGCGCAGUCGUGUCCACUGAUGGCUUCAAGCAUUUGUAUAAGAGCUUUCCUUCUCUUGUGAUGGAGCUGAUUUCCAUGCCCUCGCCACCUUAG